rnacentral:rRNA from 1 species
UACGUAGGGGGCGAGCGUUGCCCGGAUUCACUGGGCGUAAAGCGGGUGUAGGCGGUCUCUUAAGUCGGAUGUGAAAUCCUGCGGCCUAACCGCGGAACUGCAUCCGAUACUGGGAGACUUGAGGACGGUAGAGGUCGGUGGAAUUCCCGGUGUACCGGUGAAAUGGACAGAUAUCGGGAGGAACACCAGUGGCGAAGGCGGCCGACUGGGCCGAUCCUGACGCUGAGACCCGAAAGCCAGGGUAGCG